GCACCUUACCUCCAGCGCCACCGCCCGGCCCCUGCUAUUUUGUUGUUAAUAAUUGUUAAAUUGAGGGGCCGGAGAGAUAGCAUGGAGAUAAGGCAUUUGCCUUGCAUGUAGAAGGACAGUGGUUCGAAUCCUGGCAACCCAUAA